rnacentral:rRNA from 1 species
CACGCCCUAAACGAUGAGUGCUAGACGUCGAUUUUUAUAGUCGGUGUCGCAGCUAACGCGUUAAGCACUCCGCCUGAGGACUACGAUCGCAAGAUUAAAACUUAAAGGAAUUGACGGGGGCCCGCACAAGCGGUGGAGCAUGUGGUUUAAUUCGUCAAUACGCGAAAAACCUUACCAGCCUUUGACAUGUGAGUUACCGGUUCUAGAGAUAGGAUCUUCGGUUCGGCCGAACUCAACACAGGUGC